rnacentral:rRNA from 1 species
CAGGGAAUCGUUGGCAAUGGGCGAAAGCCUGACCACGCGACGCCGCGUGAAGGAAGAAGGCCUUCGGGUUGUAAACUUCUUUUAAUGGGGACGAUGAUGACGGUACCCAUUGAAUAAGCACCUGCUAACCACGUGCCAGCAGCCGCGGUAAGACGUGGGGUGCAAGCGUUGUCCGGAAUGAUUGGGCGUAAAGGGCGUGUAGGUGGUUUCCUAAGUCUCCUGUGAAAUUCCACGGCUCAACUGUGGGUCCUCGGGGGAAACUAGGAAGCUUGACGGCAAUAGGGGCAGACAGAAUUCCCGGUGAAGGGGUAAAAUCCGUUGAUAUCGGGAGGAAUACCAGUGGCGAAGGCGGUCUGCUAGGUUGCUCGUGACACUGAGGCGCGAAAGCCUGGGUAGCGAAAGGG